AUGGCCUGGGCUCCUCUCCUGCUCACAUUUCUGGCUCACUGCACAGGGGUCACUUCUCAGUAUGUGGUGAUUCAAGAAUCCUCACUAGCCACAACUCCUGGAGGCACAGUUACACUCACCUGUGGCUCCAGUACUGGGGCUGUCACCACCAGUAAUUAUGCUAAUUGGAUUCAACAGAAGCCGUACCAGAAAACCUGGGGUCUAACAGGUGGAACCAGUAAUAGGCUUCCAGAUGUACCUGCCAGAUUCUCUGGCUCCCUGCUUGGAAACAAGGCAGUCCUCACCAUCACUGGAGCCAAGGAAGAGGAUGAGGCUGAGUAUUUCUGUGCUCUGUGGUUCAGCAAC